AGGAGCAACAGCCCCAGUGGCGGGGCAGCUCUGGAAACCUGGAUUCAGCCCCCGCAGUAGCUCCGGAGCUCUCCGUCUGCAGGGCCUGGAGGCUCCGGGCGGGG
rnacentral:pre_miRNA from 1 species